rnacentral:misc_RNA from 1 species
GAAAUUAAGAGAAAUGAGGAGAAAUUGAUGUAAAAUACUUAAAUGUCCUUCUACAAUAUAAUAGACAUAAGAAAAAAAAAGGGUAUAAUAGUUAUUUCCUUUCUUUUCUUUUAAGAGAGAUUGUAUUUCUCUCCUAUUUUAAUAACCUAUCCAAACAACAUAAAACAAAUUUAAUUUCCUUCAUUUUCUUUUCUCUUCUCUUCAUUUUUCUUAUUUAAUUUCUCUCUAAUUCCACUGUACAAUUAAGUAUCCAAACAAAGGGUAAAGGAUACCAAGACUAG